GUGGGCUAUGGGGACAUGGUCCCGGUCACUAUAGGAGGCAAGAUUGUGGGAUCUCUGUGCGCCAUCGCUGGAGUGUUGACAAUUGCGCUCCCAGUGCCUGUCAUUGUGUCCAAC
rfam:Oreochromis niloticus linkage group LG13, whole genome shotgun sequence.